rnacentral:rRNA from 1 species
AGUGAACGCUGGCGGUAGGCCUAACACAUGCAAGUCGAACGGCAGCACAGUAAGAGCUUGCCCUUACGGGUGGCGAGUGGCGGACGGGUGAGGAAUACAUCGGAAUCUACUUUUUCGUGGGGGAUAACGUAGGGAAACUUACGCUAAUACCGCAUACGACCUACGGGUGAAAGCAGGGGAUCUUCGGACCUUGCGCGAUUGAAUGAGCCGAUGUCGGAUUAGCUAGUUGGCGGGGUAAAGGCCCACCAAGGCGACGAUCCGUAGCUGGUCUGAGAGGAUGAUCAGCCACACUGGAACUGAGACACGGUCCAGACUCCUAAGGGAGGCAGCAGUGGGGAAUAUUGGACAAUGGGCGCAAGCCUGAUCCAGCCAUACCGCGUGGGUGAAGAAGGCCUUCGGGUUGUAAAGCCCUUUUGUUGGGAAAGAAAAGCAGCAGGUUAAUACCCCGCUGUUCUGACGGUACCCAAAGAAUAAGCACCGGCUAACUUCGUG